AUCGAUGUGUGUUCCACUUAUGUAUUCCUGUCUGCACAAAAACAUUCCCGUCGAAAUCGAAAGCCGGAACAGGCUGCAGCACUGGAAUAGUUUGCAAGCGAGCGAGUGUCCGUUUUUGUCAGGACAUGCGCAAUGGCUAUGGAGCUUCCGGCUGCUGCUGCUAUUGGGCAGGGGCUGGGUGUGAAAAAUCAAGCAGCAGCAGCAGUGAAACGGAAGGACGAAAACAUCAGGCAGGCCAAACGCGACCCCAAACAGAAUGUGAGGAUAAAAAUGCACAUGGCAAACGAAAAUGCUGCUGAAAAAGUAUGUGAAAACCCGACGCAAGGUGAAGAUUGUGCUGCUGCUGGCGAUUGUGGGUCUGCUCGUAAUCACCAUCAUUGUGCUGGGCUCCACUGGCCGCAAUGCUGCCAUCGAGCUGCUGCUGGACGAACGAUUUAUUGCACGGGCAUAUCGGCCUGGUGACAAGCACCAACAGCAGCAGCAGCCGUUGCAGGAGCAAAAGCAGCCGCCUGUGGCGGCGGUGGGUCUGCUGCAGCCGCAGAGGGAGAAUGGUGUGAUUGUGCCGGAAAAGUACGACGAACAUAAGAUCAAGGCGCGCAUCAUACAGAACCGACUGGACCAGAUAAAGCAGCAACAGCAGCACGACCACGAGGCAGAGCAGUCGCGUACCACCCUGGAGGUGGCAACCACGGCCGUGCACAUAUUCUACACGGCCCCAGUGCCCUGGUACAAGUCCAAGAAGCCACCGCCACCGCCCGCUGAGCAUCCGAAUGAUAUGCCCCUGACGACGACACCCAAGGCGGUGCGAAUACUCAACACUGCCUUCUAUCCGGCUUUGGGUCUGUACAAGCCCAGCGUGUCGCUGCUCUCACAGCACUUUGAGAACAUCCGUAGUUGCGGCAUUGGCGUGCUCAUCCUCAGCUUCACGGGCAAGCCGGCGGAGACGACCCUUCUCCAUCAGAUCAUUGACCUGGCCCCGCAGCACAAUCUGACCGUUACCUUUGAACUGAGCGUGGCCGGGAAUCAAAGUGUGGAGUAUGUGCGCCAGCAGUUGCAGGAGAUUGCCGGCUUCGCCAGCCUACCUGGCUUCUAUCGGGUGUGGAGUCAGUCGCGUGGGGCCGCCAUGCCCGUUCUGUAUGUGAGCAAUGCCUACAAGCUGAGCGACAGCCUGGGACGACUGCUAUGUCGGACACCGUCGCAAGUGGAUCCCGACGGACUGCGGCGAGUGCUGGAUGGUUUCUUUAUAGGGCACAUAAGACUCAAGAGUCAUGCGGAUGUGAUGCGUCGCCUCUGCUUCGAUGGCUUCUACAGCAAACUGCCCAGCAAUGGAGCUGUAUUCGCCAGCACCUGGAAGAACUGGUCGUAUCUGAAAUCGUAUGCCCAGUCAUACAAAAUGAUGUUUGUGCCGACAGUGGGUCCCGGGUUUGCGGAAAGAAAUAAAUUCCCCCGCCAUGGGGAUAUACAGAGGCAUCGCAGCAAUGGACGCUAUUAUGGCGUGGCCUGGCGUACGGCUAUACUCAAUCAUGUGGGCUUCAUCAAUAUAGCCAGCUAUAACAAUUGGCCCGAUGGCAGCCAGAUUGAGGAGGUGAUGCCGCGUGCCGGCUUCCUGGACUACAAUCCUGGUUCGAGGACCAAGUAUUUGGAUCUGACGGCCCACUGGGUCGGUAAUUUUCUAAAGACACGUCAGGAGGCGGCUGCAGCAGCUGCCCCCGCAUCGCCCCAGAACUGUUACGAGCUCCUCAAUGGGACAAUUUGCUAGAGAAGUUCCACACAAUGAAAUCUUCCAUAUAUGGAUAAUACUAGUGCAAAGUCGGUAUUUACUUUAGAAGCAAUAUAUCUAUAGAUUGCAGGCCACACAAUUACUUUCCAAACUAAAAAAAAUAAAUACAGCCAUAUAUCGGUCAACUAUUACAUAUAUAUAUAUAUAUGAUAUAUAGAUAUAUAGAGAGAGAUCAAGCAAUAUAUCUUUAAGUAGUGAGUGGUUAACAUUAGUACGAGACUAUGCUCAAAUUAUAUCCAUAGCUAGAGCCACACAUUUUUUGGAAACUUUAUUAGCUUUCGAUUAUUGUAACAAUAAUAAGAGGAUGAACGAAUGAUGACGGAACAACAAUAUCAUAACAUAAUGCCAUGCCAUAUUAUAUAGAAAUCAAAUGAAUGAAAACCAAUUAUCUAUGUUAUAUCGGAUAUAUACUAAAACACUUGUUAAACAAUUGCAUCUUGAUACCUGAUAUUUCCCGCUAACCGCUAUCGAUGGCUCUCAGGAAAUUGAAACGGAAGCGAAUAUCCGAUAUGGAAUGUUUCAUGUC